rnacentral:lncRNA from 1 species
CGGAAGUGCGCGCUCACUAGGCUGCCCCAGGGCGGAGGCACUAGAGGCGGCAAGAGCGGGUCCGGGGAGAUGUGCUCUGGGGUUGGAAAAAGCGAAAAUGAAAAGAAAAAUCGUACGAGAAAGCAUGAGAUGGGGAAGAACAGCACAAUUGAUAGUCAGCAACUGCACAGAAGAGAACACAGGCUUUGCUUCAACAUGAGCAAAGUCUCUGCGCAUCCAACCCCAAAGGUCUGACCUGCCUUGCCCAGCCGACAGCC